UCGGGGAGUGCAUAAAGUGGCGCACGGGUGAGUAACACGUAAGUAAUCUACCCUCGAGUGGAGAAUAACGUUCGGAAACGAACGCUAAUACCGCAUAAUGCAGCGGCACCGCAAGGUGACAGUUGUUAAAGAUUUAUUGCUUGAGGAGGAGCUUGCGGCAGAUUAGCUUGUCGGUAAGGUAACGGCUUACCAAGGCUACGAUCUGUAUCCGGUCUAAGAGGACGGUCGGACACACUGACACUGAGUAACGGGUCAGACUCCUACGGGAGGCAGCAGUCGGGAAUUUUGGGCAAUGGGGGAAACCCUGACCCAGCAACGCCGCGUGAAGGAUGAAGUAUUUCGGUAUGUAAACUUCGAAAGAAUAGGAAGAAUUAAUGACGGUACUAUUUAUAAGGUCCGGCUAACUACGUGCCAGCAGCCGCGGUAAUACGUAGGGACCAAGCGUUGUUCGGAUUUACUGGGCGUAAAGGGCGCGUAGGCGGCGCGGUAAGUCACUUGUGAAAUCUCUGAGCUUAACUCAGAACGGCCAAGUGAUACUGCAGUGCUAGAGUGUGGAAGGGGCAAUCGGAAUUCUUGGUGUAGCGGUGAAAUGCGUAGAUAUCAAGAGGAACACCUGAGGUGAAGACGGGUUGCUGGGCCAACACUGACGCUGAGGCGCGAAAGCCAGGGGAGCAAACGGGAUUAGAUACCCCGGUAGUCCUGGCCCUAAACGAUGAAUACUUGGUGUCUGGAGUUUUAAUGCU
rnacentral:rRNA from 1 species